UCUUAAGAAGCGAAACACGCAUCUAGUUUCGGCCUAGAUUUUGGUUAAUUUAACCCUUAU
rnacentral:tRNA from 1 species